CUGGAUAGAUACAAAGACAGGCUGUGUAUUAAUUAGCAAUAUGACAAGCUCCCCAGCAGGACAGCCUGUUCCCUGAGGACUGCAGCGAUGUUUCAGGCCAUGCUCUCCCAGACCUGAAGGCAAAACUGAUCUUGACAUUCAUGCAGGAACGUGGAGAAGAAUGCGACAGGAACGUGGAGAAGAAUGCGACCUGUGCUUUAUAGUCCUGCCCACUCAUAGAGACACAACAUUUUUGGUAUGAAUAAGCAUCAACUGUCUUAAGUUUCAACCAGCAAUACCAAGAGAAAACUGAGCCAGAUUCCUCUCGGAGGUGCACAGCUUCCAAUGCAAAGGGUAAUGGACACAAAAUGC